rfam:Gossypium hirsutum cultivar TM-1 chromosome 6, whole genome shotgun sequence
CACGUCAGCGCGAUUUGCUGACCUGGCAACAAAUCGCGCCCUCUAGGACGCGAUUUGGUGCCACGUCAAAAAAGCGCGCUGACGUGG